CAGUAGGACACCCGUAACGAAACACUUUCCUCUCUUUAACUUCCAAGAUGCAUCUUUCUGAAUUAACAUACGGUACGGAAGAGGGAGGGAAGAAACAACAAAAAUCAAGGUCAACGUGCAGUUUCUGCGUCCGCUUCACACUCGUUGCUCUCGUGAUAAUUUUGCUGGCCGCUACAACCACCACCACCAUUUUCUUCUUGUUAGGCAGGGGUGGUAAGUGAAUUGGAUA